ACGCUGGCGGCAGGCCUCAAACAUGCAAGUCUAGGGGGUGUAGCAAUACAUCACCGGCGGACGGGUGCGUAACGCGUGGGAAUAUACCUAUCGAUUCGGAACAACUGAGGGAAACUUCAGCUAAUACCGAAUACGUCCUAACGGAGAAAGAUUUAUCGUCGAUAGAUUAGCCCGCGUUCGAUUAGCUAGUUGGUGGGGUAACGGCCCACCAAGGCGACGAUCGAUAGCUGUUCUGAGAGGAAGAUCAGCCACACUGGGACUGAGACACGGCCCAGACUCCUACGGGAGGCAGCAGCUGGGAAUCUUGGACAAUGGGGGAAACCCUGAUCCAGCCAUGCCGCGUGAGUGAUGAAGGCCUUCGGGUUGUAAAACUCUUUCGCGCACGACGAUAAUGACGGUAGUGCGAGAAGAAGCUCCGGCUAACUUCGUG
rnacentral:rRNA from 1 species